UGGAGGGGCCCCAAGGACUCAUGCAGCUGCCCUGUGCUUUGAGCCUGUGCAUGGAGCCUGUGCAUAAGGCUGUUUGUGUCUGAUUAUUUCCUGCCUCUGCCAGGCCCACUUCCCUCUGCCCUUUCCCGUCUGGCUCCUCUGCUUUUUUGCUUUCUUUUCAGGACUCUGAGUUGCUAGGCAACUCCAGUCUGGAGCCGAGGUUCUCACCGUGGAGAGCAGCUUCCAUGCAGGAACCUGGAGUCUGAUGGAGCUCGUGAUUACAGGUUUAAUGUGAUGACAGCUACAUUUACCAUGCCACUCAAGUUUGACCCCAAGAAGAUCAAAGUCCUGUACCAGAGGUACACCACUGGCACCACUGGGGAAGUUGGUGCCAUGGCUACCUGAGGGUCUGUCUCCAAGAAAGACUGGUGGUUUCACUGGGGAGGUAACCAGUGACUUGGAAGACAGUGGAACUCACCAUUCAGAACAGACAGGUCCAGACUGAGGGGGUGCCUUGUGCCUCUACCUUGAUCAUCAAUCUUCAGGGAAAUAGCUGUAGCCAGAAAGAAGCAGGAAAACAUUAAGCACAGUGGAAACGUCACCUUUGAUAAUGUUGUCAAUGUCGCCCAAGAGAAGCAGCGCUGAUCUUUAGCUAGAGACCUGUAUGGAAUCAUCAGAGAGAUCCUGAGGACUAUGCCGUCAGUGGGCUGCAGUGCUGACGCCCACCACCUCCAUGACAUCAUAGAUGACAUCAACAGUGGUGCCAAGGAAUGCCCAGUGAAUCAGGAACUACAGAGGGAAAUCUCUCAACAAAAAGAACGUUUGAAGACGGAAAAAAAAUUACCAUGGGAAAGUGUUUAAUUUUGGAAAUGCACCCAGGAAAAUAGUGUUAGUCCUCUGCCACAUCCUAGGAAGAUGGUGUGAAGCUCUUUCUUUGACAGUGGGAAGUGAGGUGGGGGGCUCAGGGAGGGGAGGACGUCAGCUUAGCCUCACAGAGCAAGUCACUACACCGAGGUGCAGCAUGCUGGUGGAGUGGGGGCCCUCCUCCUGGUGCCUUGUUGGCUUGCUCUCCCCUCCUUUCCAGGUUAGAGAUUUGAGUCAGAGAUGAGGCAAAUGCUUAGGCAAGGAAAAAUGUUUCGCCAGCUUGCUCCACAGGGAAGGAGAGUCCGUGAUAUGAUAUGAAGCCGAAAAUAGCGUGCCUUAGGAAAGAAACUACCAGCCGAUAACGAGCUUGUGGUGGAGGUGUGGGGCCCUCCUCCAGGAAGGUGGGAGUUGAAAUGGGACUGCGACGACGCUGCCUGUGUGACUGCUGAACGCAGAUGCUCUGGGCUGGGAUUUGGAAUCCGUGUCACAAGAACAGGGUCCCGCUGGAGCCGCUCGUUCAGCAGUGCUUUCCUGCUGGGGUCUGUGGAACAUCCUGACACAGGCCGGGGCUUGAACAAGGGCCAAGGAUUUAUCCAGAAACAGCAAGCCCUGUACAAAGACGAUCCUGGAUUUAGAACAGAUGAAAGGUACUUUGAGGGAGUUCAAAGAACGGGCACUCGCUCCCCGAUGGCUGCUUGCUGGAUAUUUUGAGAGGUGACUGGGGCAUGAUUUCUCUCUCUGCUUCUCCCAGGAGUCUUUUCCAACACGGUUUCUCUCUGUUAGUAUAUUCCAGAGCUUUCAAGCUGGAAAGUCUUAAUAUGGAAAUUCCUGCUGCGGUGGGAACAGGUCUCUCCCAGUUGGGACUUUUGAAGGCCGUUAUUCUGAUGAUGUUAAUGGUGAUGAUUAAUUGGCACUAAUGAUGGAGAUGGUGAAAGUAAUGAGGCCAACCUGUUUAGGUGGAGUGCAUAGGCACACUUGAGGGUAGGGAGAGUGAUGAUGAGAGCAAUGGCAGGGAGCUCCAUUGUAGGAAUUUGUUGAGAAAUCUGGGGAACUCACAUUAGCUUGAACUUCAUUUUCUGGCAAUGUAAAUUAUUGGCACACACAAAAAAAUCACCUCUGGGAAGGGAAGGAGAAAAUACCUUUUGCCUGUAAAACCAAAUACUUAAUGUCAAACUCCAUGUCACCAGCUUUCUGAUGGGUUAUGUAGUGAGCACACGGAAAUGCUCAUGGAGGUACAAACUCAAUAUGAUAUGAGUGGCCACAAAACAAAUUAGUGAUGGCUAAAAUGUGGGAUUAAUGUAAAAAGGAGCCAUUGUCCUCAUUUCUCUGCUUUGAAAGGUGUCUGGAGGGGAAGGGUGAGAAAGACAACUAGCGAAAUCUUCAGGAUUGGAGAUAAUCCCCUUGCCUUCCAAGAGCACUUUGUGGAGGGCUGUGGGUAUAUCAGGUCUUUCUGCUUCCCUAUGUCCUCCCUUAAGUCAUGACAUUCUUGCCUUGCCAAGUCACUGAUGAGAUACAACAUUAAGGCAAAGCAACUUUGGGGUCCAGCCUACUCUUACUCAUAGUAUUGAGGGUACCCCCAACAGCAAUGGGCAAGUUAAGGGUCCUCUUUGAGGGCUCAAAAAUGGAGAACAACACUAGAUGUGUAUAAUCCCGAUUUUACUAAUUACCAAAAAAGUCCAUACAAUGGUGACCAAUCCUAUCACUUCCUGUUGAGUUGAGAGACAAUGUCAGCUGUCAUUGGUGAAAUUAUGAAGCAUGAUAAACUUAAUUUCAGAAUUUCUAGACUUCCCUUAUUUUGAGCUUUUCUUCUCUGAAAUGUCCUCAGCCAUGAACCCCUGCCUCAGUUGUGCACAAUUAUCCCCUAAAGUACAGGGACAAGGUCCCAUGAACACAGUUACUUCUCAAUGUUUGGGCUGAAUUUCAAUAAUGUUGUCACUGUGUACAUAAAUUCCCUCCUCAGGGCAUUUCCUUCCUGUGGGAGGAGCCUGGAGAGGAAAAUAUCUAUCCCAAUAGGAGAUCUGAAAUGGUGGAUUAGCAUAGAGUUGGCCCCCUUCUCUUCAAAUCACACCAUUUAGGUGGUGCCAUGUGCUAGGACUAUGGUAGUGGAGUCUCAGUGAGGGAUCUGCCUGAUAUAUCUGGGGCUGUGAUUCUAUCAUUUGCAUCUUUAUUUACUGAGGAUGUGAAGACAGAGUAUCCUACAACAUGUUGGGUAUCAUAGAGCACUCAUCAUUUCCUAGAUGGUGCUCUAAGUCUAGAGCAAUCCAUAUCUUCACUUGUUUUCCUGUAUUUUUCAAUUCCUUUUUUUAGUGGGUAAAAUAUUUCUUCAUGCUGGGUAUCUAGAAGUACAAUUGAAAUGAAUGAUGCAGAAGGAAACAAAGGAUAGAAUGUGGACAAAAAGUAUUUGCUUUGCUGGUUCUUGUGAGGAAGUUAUUAAGAAGACUCGAAAAAAGACUCAUUAGCAGGAAAAAGUUUGGAACUAAGUAAUAUAGUGAAAAUUAGAAACCUCAUUCAUUCACACAUUGAUAUAUUAAAUAUGCAUGGACUAAUUUUUAUAGGGCCAAAGAAUUGAGGACUGAAAGUAUUCUAACAAAGAAAUCUGUGAGACAGCAAAGCAAAAAGGAAGUGCCAAUUCCAGUAACUAAUUGCCUUGUAAGAAAUCAUCCCAAAACUCAGUGACUUAAAAUAUAGCAAUUAUUGUAUUAUUAUCAUCUCUCAAAAUUCAGGGGAUUGUCUAGGCUCUGCUAGGCAGUUCUUGUUCAGGAUCUUCCAUGAGUUUGCACGCACAUGGUGAGCAGGACUGGCGUCAUUUUAAAGGCUUUCUUGCUUGCAUAUUGGUGGUUGUUGCUGGUUAUUGCCUGGAAGUUCCCCUGGGGAUCUCAGCCAGAACACCUACAUGUGGACUCUGUGUGGCCUGGACUUCCUUACAGCGUUGCAGCUGGGUUCCAAGAAAGAGCAUCUCAAGAGAACUAGGUAAAAGCACUAUCUUCUUUCAUGACCUGGACUUAGGAGACUCAGGAGUCACACAGCACCAUUUCAUUGAUAGGAAAAAUUCCAGUAAUAUUCAAGAAGAGGGAACAUCCACCUUGUAUCUUCAUAGGAGGAGUAUCAACGUCAGUCAUAGAAAGAGCAUGAAGGAUGGGAAGACUUGUUGCACUCACUUUGGAAAAUACAACCUACCAUAGGUGAGGUAGACUCAGAUAUUAGUGGGUCUUGACUGAAUUUUUGCCAAGGAAUAAAUCCCUUCAAACCAGGGAUGAUUAGAGAGCAAUACAGGGAAAUAUCUGAUCUAAUGAGUGAUUCUGUAACAUGAAUAAUAAUGGUUAAAAGAGGGUGAAGGAUGCAUACCAUGACAUGUCAUUAAUGAUAGACAUAACUUCUGAGAAAUGUGUGAUCAGGCAGCCUCAUCAUGGUACAGGCAUCACAGAGUGUACUUAAACCAAUAGGUGAUGGUGUCAUUAGGAAAUAAGAUUUUAUGGUACCUGUGUUGCAUAUGAGGUAUGUUGUUGACCAAAGCAUCAUUCUGUGGUGCGUGACUGUAGUUUAUUGGAGCUUCAGGUAGUUGGAGCAGACUUCAUGGAGGAAGUAGCAGCUUGAUCUGACUUUGAGGCUCCAGUAGGUUUCAUUCAGUUAUGUUUAAUUUUUAUUCAUUCUCUUCCCAAACUCCCUCUUGUAAAGAAAUGAAAAUAAAAUUAUACUUACUGGCAAUUCCCCCAUACUGAGACUACCGCUUAACAUUUCCAUGUACUGACUCUCCCCUAUGCCAACCCCUACCCCCAGAAGUGUAUUGGAAAAUUCACAUUUGGAAUUCUAACUAUUUUACUUACAAUAUUUUGUAAACAUUUUCCUUCAUUAUUAAAUAUUCUUCUAAAAUAAAAUCUUGAAUGGCUGCAUAGUA